rnacentral:rRNA from 1 species
GAUGAACGCUGGCGGCGUGCCUAAUACAUGCAAGUCGAGCGAACAGACGAGGAGCUUGCUCCUCUGACGUUAGCGGCGGACGGGUGAGUCACACGUGGAUACCCUCCCUAUCAGACUGGGAUAACUUCGGGACACCGGAGCUAAUACCGGAUAAUAUCUUGAACCGCAUGGUUGAAUAGUGAAAGACGGCUUUGCUGUCACUUAUAGAUGGAUACGCGCCGCAUUAGCUAGUUGGUAAGGUAACGGCUUACCAAGGCAACGAUGCGUAGCCGACCUGAGAGGGGGAUAGGCCACACGGGAACUGAGACGCGGUCCAGACUCCUACGGGAGGCAGCAGUAGGGAAUCUUCCGCAAUGGGCGAAAGCCUGACGGAGCAACGCCGCGUGAGUGAUGAAGGUCUUCGGAUCGUAAAACUCUGUUAUUAGGGAAGAACAAAUGUGUAAGUAACUAUGCACGUCUUGACGGUACCUAAUCAGAAAGCCACGGCUAACUACGUG